GCCGCAGUGGCGGAAUUGGCAGACGCGCUACGUUCAGGGCGUAGUGGGCACAGCGCUCAUGGGGGUUCAAGUCCCUCCUGCGGCA
rnacentral:tRNA from 1 species